UGCCGCUCCAUUUCUGUUGCGCCACCUCCGCCGGGCUCCGCCUCCACCGAGCCUCGUCCGCCGCCGCCGCCGUGUCCGCCUUCACUGCGACCCGAAGACGUCUCCCGUGAACGACACCGGACCCACGCCAUCCUCGCCACCGCCACCCCGAGCACCACCACAGCACCUCCCCGACUUCGGCCGCCAUCCCAACCGUCGCCUCCCUCAUCUUCUCUCCCCCUUG
rnacentral:lncRNA from 1 species